rnacentral:rRNA from 2 species
UUAAGCGACUAAGCGUACACGGUGGAUGCCUAGGCAGUCAGAGGCGAUGAAGGGCGUGCUAAUCUGCGAUAAGCGUCGGUAAGCUGAUAUGAAGCGUUAUACCCGACGAUACCCGAAUGGGGAAACCCAGUGUGUUUCGACACACUAUCAUUACGUGAAUACAUAGCGUAAUGAGGCGAACCGGGGGAACUGAAACAUCUCAGUACCCCGAGGAAAAGAAAUCAACCGAGAUUCCCCUAGUAGCGGCGAGCGAACGGGGAGGAGCCCAGAACCUAAAUCAGUUUGUGUGUUAGUGGAAGCGUCUGGAAAGUCGCACAGUAAAGGGUGAUAGUCCCGUACACAAAAAUGCACAGAUUGUGAGUUCGAUGAGUAGGGCGGGACACGUGACAUCCUGUCUGAAUAUGGGGGGACCAUCCUCCAAGGCUAAAUACUCCUGACUGACCGAUAGUGAACCAGUACCGUGAGGGAAAGGCGAAAAGAACCCCGGCGAGGGGAGUGAAAUAGAACCUGAAACCGUGUACGUACAAGCAGUGGGAGCCUUGAUUAAUCAGGGUGACUGCGUACCUUUUGUAUAAUGGGUCAGCGACUUAUAUUCUGUAGCAAGGUUAACCGUAUAGGGGAGCCGUAGGGAAACCGAGUCUUAACUGGGCGUUAAGUUGCAGGGUAUAGACCCGAAACCCGGUGAUCUAGCCAUGGGCAGGUUGAAGGUUGGGUAACACUAACUGGAGGACCGAACCGACUAAUGUUGAAAAAUUAGCGGAUGACUUGUGGCUGGGGGUGAAAGGCCAAUCAAACCGGGAGAUAGCUGGUUCUCCCCGAAAGCUAUUUAGGUAGCGCCUCGUGAAUUCAUCUUCGGGGGUAGAGCACUGUUUCGGCUAGGGGGUCAUCCCGACUUACCAACCCGAUGCAAACUACGAAUACCGAAGAAUGUUAUCACGGGAGACACACGGCGGGUGCUAACGUUCGUCGUGAAGAGGGAAACAACCCAGACCGCCAGCUAAGGUCCCAAAGUCAUGGUUAAGUGGGAAACGAUGUGGGAAGGCACAGACAGCCAGGAUGUUGGCUUAGAAGCAGCCAUCAUUUAAAGAAAGCGUAAUAGCUCACUGGUCGAGUCGGCCUGCGCGGAAGAUGUAACGGGGCUAAACCAUGCACCGAAGCUGCGGCAGCGACACUUAGGUGUUGUUGGGUAGGGGAGCGUUCUGUAAGCCGUCGAAGGUGACCUGUGAGGGUUGCUGGAGGUAUCAGAAGUGCGAAUGCUGACAUAAGUAACGAUAAUGCGGGUGAAAAACCCGCACGCCGGAAGACCAAGGGUUCCUGUCCAACGUUAAUCGGGGCAGGGUGAGUCGACCCCUAAGGCGAGGCUGAAAAGCGUAGUCGAUGGGAAACAGGUUAAUAUUCCUGUACUCGGUGUUACUGCGAAGGGGGGACGGAGAAAGCUAGGUUAUCCGGGCGACGGUUGUCCCGGUUUAAGCGUGAAGGUGGAUGACUUUGGUAAAUCCGGGUCGUCAUUAACACUGAGGCGUGAUGACGAGUCACUACGGUGAUGAAGUAACCAAUGCUACGCUUCCAGGAAAAGCCUCUAAGCUCCAGGUAACAUCAAAUCGUACCCCAAACCGACACAGGUGGUCAGGUAGAGAAUACUCAGGCGCUUGAGAGAACUCGGGUGAAGGAACUAGGCAAAAUGGUGCCGUAACUUCGGGAGAAGGCACGCUGAUGGUAGGUGAAGUGACUUGCUCACGGAGCUGAAAUCAGUCGAAGAUACCAGCUGGCUGCAACUGUUUAAUAAAAACACAGCACUGUGCAAACACGAAAGUGGACGUAUACGGUGUGACGCCUGCCCGGUGCCGGAAGGUUAAUUGAUGGGGUCAGCCGCAAGGCGAAGCUCUUGAUCGAAGCCCCGGUAAACGGCGGCCGUAACUAUAACGGUCCUAAGGUAGCGAAAUUCCUUGUCGGGUAAGUUCCGACCUGCACGAAUGGCGUAAUGAUGGCCAGGCUGUCUCCACCCGAGACUCAGUGAAAUUGAACUCGCUGUGAAGAUGCAGUGUACCCGCGGCAAGACGGAAAGACCCCGUGAACCUUUACUAUAGCUUGACACUGAACCUUGAGCCUUGAUGUGUAGGAUAGGUGGGAGGCUUUGAAGCGUGGACGCCAGUCUGCGUGGAGCCAACCUUGAAAUACCACCCUUUAAUGUUUGAUGUUCUAACGUGGGCCCGUGAUCCGGGUUGCGGACAGUGUCUGGUGGGUAGUUUGACUGGGGCGGUCUCCUCCCAAAGCGUAACGGAGGAGCACGAAGGUUAGCUAAUCCUGGUCGGACAUCAGGAGGUUAGUGCAAAGGCAUAAGCUAGCUUGACUGCGAGAGUGACAGCUCGAGCAGGUGCGAAAGCAGGUCUUAGUGAUCCGGUGGUUCUGAAUGGAAGGGCCAUCGCUCAACGGAUAAAAGGUACUCCGGGGAUAACAGGCUGAUACCGCCCAAGAGUUCAUAUCGACGGCGGUGUUUGGCACCUCGAUGUCGGCUCAUCACAUCCUGGGGCUGAAGUAGGUCCCAAGGGUAUGGCUGUUCGCCAUUUAAAGUGGUACGCGAGCUGGGUUUAGAACGUCGUGAGACAGUUCGGUCCCUAUCUGCCGUGGGCGUUGGAAGAUUGAGAGGGGUUGCUCCUAGUACGAGAGGACCGGAGUGAACGCACCACUGGUGUUCGGGUUGUGAUGCCAAUUGCAUUGCCCGGUAGCUAAGUGCGGAAGAGAUAACCGCUGAAAGCAUCUAAGCGGGAAACUUGCCUCGAGAUGAGUCUUCCCUGGGCACUAGAUGCCCCUGAAGGGCCGUUGAAGACUACGACGUAGAUAGGCUGGGUGUGUAAGCGUAGCGAUACGUUGAGCUAACCAGUACUAAUGACCCGAGAGGCUUAACCUU